AUGGGGGCAUCUAGGCGCUCUGCCCUGGACUCUCCUCCCUCCUCGGAACUUUGGGGCUGGGAGAGUCUCCACCCCGAGGUGGGGAGGACGGGGCGGGGGUGGGGGUGGGGUGGGGGAAGAGAGCAGGGCCGGGAGAUUGGGCCCGACCCCGUAGGUCCCGCACACCUGGAUGCAGGCGGUAGCGCCAGGUCGUGGUCCUGGCCUCCCUCCCCACUGGCCCACGGGGCUCAGGACACCCCGGCCCCCGCGGAUCCGAGUCUGCACCCCCCAGGGCUGCUUCAGCGUCCGAGCCCAGACCAAAGUGUUUCUCAGAUACCCAAGACGGGUUCAAUUCGAGAUGCGGUCAACUCCAUCGCUCCUUCCUUGGGCACAUUCCGCAGACACCGGGUCCACUGCACCUCCGGGGACUCCCGCCUUACAACCCUCCUCUUCCCCAGAGCGCCUGGGACACUGCUAGGCACCUGCCCCAGCGCCUGGGACACUGCUAGGCACCUCGCCCCAGCUCCAGGGACACUGCUAGGAGCCUCGGUCUCCGUGGCUCAGGCCACGUCUCUGGAACUCGUCCUGGGAAUCUGACCGCGACUACCCUCCAUCCGGAGACUUCUUCCUGCAUUGGGGGAGUGCAAGCUCCCCCCUCUCCAUCCUGCCCCCAAACCCAUCGGGUGAAGUCUGCUGAACGGGUGCGCACCAGUCGCCGCGGCCCUCGGACCCCCCACCUCCCUCCCACCCCACCCCACCCCCCGCCGGCCCGGUCCUAGGGCAAGCUGCCCGGAUCUGGACCUAAAGGGCGCUAGCUCGGCUGGGUGCA
rnacentral:lncRNA from 12 species